ACGCUGGCGGCAGGCCUAACACAUGCAAGUCGAGCGGUAGAGAGGUGCUUGCACCUCUUGAGAGCGGCGGACGGGUGAGUAAUACCUAGGAAUCUGCCUGGUAGUGGGGGAUAACGUUCGGAAACGGACGCUAAUACCGCAUACGUCCUACGGGAGAAAGCAGGGGACCUUCGGGCCUUGCGCUAUCAGAUGAGCCUAGGUCGGAUUAGCUAGUUGGUGAGGUAAUGGCACACCAAGGCUACGAUCCGUAACUGGUCUGAGAGGAUGAUCAGUCACACUGGAACUGAGACACGGUCCAGACUCCUACGGGAGGCAGCAGUGGGGAAUAUUGGACAAUGGGCGAAAGCCUGAUCCAGCCAUGCCGCGUGUGUGAAGAAGGUCUUCGGAUUGUAAAGCACUUUAAGUUGGGAGGAAGGGCAUUAACCUAAUACGUUAGUGUUUUGACGUUACCGACAGAAUAAGCACCGGCUAACUCUGUGCCAGCAGCCGCGGUAAUACAGAGGGUGCAAGCGUUAAUCGGAAUUACUGGGCGUAAAGCGCGCGUAGGUGGUUUGUUAAGUUGAAUGUGAAAUCCCCGGGCUCAACCUGGGAACUGCAUCCAAAACUGGCAAGCUAGAGUAUGGUAGAGGGUAGUGGAAUUUCCUGUGUAGCGGUGAAAUGCGUAGAUAUAGGAAGGAACACCAGUGGCGAAGGCGACUACCUGGACUGAUACUGACACUGAGGUGCGAAAGCGUGGGGAGCAAACAGGAUUAGAUACCCUGGUAGUCCACGCCGUAAACGAUGUCAACUAGCCGUUGGGAACCUUGAGUUCUUAGUGGCGCAGCUAACGCAUUAAGUUGACCGCCUGGGGAGUACGGCCGCAAGGUUAAAACUCAAAUGAAUUGACGG
rnacentral:rRNA from 1 species